AACCGGCACGGUAGUAACCCUUGGAAGGUUAUGUUCGGCGAAGAUGGCGCGGCCGGUAUAAAUAUUUUCGUUGAACGAUGGGUGGUAACGAGAGAUAGGCGGGCAAUUGGCGAUUAUAGUAUCUAACGAGAUCAAUAUCGUGAAUAUUUGCACGAUCGAUGGAAUCUUCACUUUGUGAAUUACUUGUGAAUUUAAUUUUGGAUAUUUAACAUCUUUGUGCAGAAUAGUGAUUUCUUCUUCGUAAAUUGUUUGAUAAGUGGCAACAGCUCGACUUUAUUUAUGGAAUAAUGAAAAUGGUUUCGUAUGAAAGAGCAAUCGUAAUGCAUAAUUAUGAAGUUUAUUUCAUCUCUCUCGAAAUUGACUAAUCCAACAAAAAGUAAUCGCUUGGGACUGAUAUUUUUCCAUCAUAACACGGAUUUUCUCCGCAUGACGCAGAUAUAGCAUGAUGUACACAGCAUGUCAUUGCUAUAAAACGGAUUAUAAUCAUUUCAAAAACAUUCAAUAACAUUAUUGAUUUACAUAUCGUUCUAUUUCGUUAUUUUUCUAUUUGACAGCUCAUGUUUUUUUUUUCUUAGUUUAACCUAUAUCUCUACUAUCUCCGUGUGAGUACGUGUACAAUGUUUCAAAAUAAUAACAUGAUAUAAAAACAACUUUUAAUAAUAAUAAUUAAAAAAAGAUUAAUAGAAAAAUUCAAAAACCACAUAUACAA